CAGGCUUGUACUCUCUAUUCUUAACACUGGGUAGUAGUCCCGCAAAGAAUACAUCGUUCAGCUCGCAACAUGAAAACUGUCAUAGUACUGUUCGCCCUAGUGGCUGUUGCCACAGCAAUGCAGCCAUUUUAUCACCCACAAGAGCAAUUUCCCAUGGUUGAAAUCAUGCCCAUAAAUACUUUAGAUAACAGACAGUUACCCAAAAUUUUGGAAUCUCUUGUAGGGCUUGUUGACGGGUUUCUUAAUGUUUUCGAAGCAACACGUCGUGGCGACCCUGUUGAUCGUGAGAACAUGCGUCAGCUUAGCAUUUUGCUCUCACUUUUACCUUCCAUCGUAGAAACUGUCUAUAGAAUAUUUGGUCAACCAACAUAAUUUGAAAGGGAUUUUCAACCCACAAGUGAGGUGAGACUUUAACUGGAAGACCUCAAAGAAAUGAGAGCUAUGAUGGAAAUGGACGACCUUAAAUUUCACUAUUGGCAUAAAUAAAUCUACAUUCAUGCAUGCAAAUUUUGGAGAGCCUUGUUUAUCCCAUUUCAUUCCAAUAACAGGUAGCUAGUUUAUAAGUGAUAAAAUAGUGGCUUAAAGUAGUAAUCAUCUGUCGAAGGUUCUGCAUUGUAUCCCAUACACGAUUUCUCCAAGUAUUCUUCAAUUUUUGGAUUUUUUUUAUGAAUUCAUUUACAGCGCAGCACAAACAUUGUCAUAAUACAGUUCGAACUGUCGGCUUCACGUCGGCGUACUCGUAAGCGAUACAGAACACGGACCAUACAUGGUCUAUAUUUUCCAUUUCCAGCAAACCAUGCUUCUCAUACAGAAGAACGGUACCAAUGAAAGUAAUACUAUACUCAUUUUUAAAUUGACUGCCUCAGAUUCAAAUCACCUCUAUUCGAUCGAAGAGAAUAUCCAAACAAAAUGUACGCACCAAGCGAGCCAUACAAUUGACGUCAUUCGUAUCGGUUGAAUCGAUUGCAUGCUUGUGUAAACGAACAUAGAAAUCACUUCAAGCGAUCAGUAAUGAUGUAACAAUAAUUAAAUUGAACACUAAACUAACUAAACAACGAUCAGCAAGCACUGGAAGUACCUGUAACGACCUCUGAUUAAACUAUGACUGGAGUAUAAAGUCACCCACUUAUUGUCCUGCAGUUGGUACCCAAAUCUAUCUCACGUAGCUAUUUCAAAAUACAAAGUUUACAAGGAAAGCUGUAGCAGAGCAACGACAAAUGUUGCUGCGCCGAUUGUUGAACAUAGCUUUCUUGUAGGUGCAGCAUACUAUUGUAGACUAUCGAUACUAUCGAUUCUCAAGAGAACCUUUGACUUUUCCACGAUUUCUAAGCCUUUUAUAGACAUUGAUCCGCAUUAUGGUUCAAAUUCCAAGUAUAUCAUUCUUAAUUUCGAUAGGUUCUAUUGUUAAAUUUAAUGCAUUGUAACGUUUGCUGAUGGAUGGAUGCAUAGUAAAAAGUAAAUACCUACACCCAUUGAUAAAAACGAUUGAAAACUUCGUAUACGAUAGCAACACCAGCAACCGUUAUCAAUGAUCUUAUAUUUGCUUUGCAAAACAUUUUAACAAACCUAAACGACAUCAUAACAUUUGCAAGGCUCCUCCAUGGAUAUUCAACCACACUUCAAUUAAUUAUUGCAACCUUAAUGAUGAUUGCACCGCUGCCUGCUCCAAUGUCUCCUCUCUCAACUACUAUAAAACAGUGCACUAGUGACUGCAAAGUGCGCAGUAGUUUUUAAAUAGAAAACUUCAUUCAGAACACAACAUGAAAACUGUCAUUAUACUGUUCGGCCUGUUGGUUGCGGCAAACGCAAUCCCUUUACAAAGCCAUGACCGUGUUUUUCGUGAGGAAAUAGUUUUGCUAAGAAAGCCGUUUCACAUUCCUUCAUCGUUGCUAAUCUGGCUGCCACACACUGUAAAAUCAAUCAGACGAUCCUUUAACAGACCAGCACUGCGCCAAGACAGCAGUGACCUACCAUGGUGCUCUACUAUGACCGACGAAGAGUGCCUAUUGGUACCAAAUUUCAAUGCGAUCAAAACGAAAAACCAUGAUCAUGUUUUCCAUAAGGAUGUAGUUUUAGGAAAAAGGUGGAUUCCGCUAAAUGUGAUGCAACAAAAUUUAGAAUAUAUCAGACGAUUGUAUUAUAUACCAGCACUGCGCCAAGACAGCCGUAACCUGCCAUGGUGCUCUAUCAUGAACGACGUCGAAAAAUGCCUAUUGGUACCAAAUUUCAAUGCGAUCAAAUCGAAAAACCAUGAUCAUGUUUUCCAUAAGGAUGUAGUUUUAGGAAAAAGGUGGAUUCCGCUAAAUUAGAUGCAACAAAUUUUAGAAUAUAUCAGACGAUUGUAUUAUAUACCAGCACUGCGCCAAGACAGCAGUAACCUGUCAUGGUGCUCUAUCAUGAACGACGUCGAAAAAUGCCUAUUGGUACCAAAUUUCAAUGCGAUCAAAUCGAAAAACCAUGCAAUUAGCUCCAAAACAUAAAACAAACUCGAAACUAGGCUCGAUGUAACGUUCGCAAGAGAAAGGACCGAAGAUAAUCGCAAAAUUGGUUAUAUUUAACACUCAUCUUACAUACCUCCAAUCUACCCUAAACUACUAACUACAUCGAAAUAAACAACACUCUACAAUUUACUGAUUUAA